AAAAAUGAUAGCUAGAUGUCGCUUAUAAAGAAAAAUUUUGAUGAACACGCCUUGUUUUUGAAAUUUGUUUUUUUGUUUUAUGGGUAGCAAAAAAUAUGGAAGCCGAAUAUAUCAUCUCCAAAGCAUUAUAUAGUAAAAAAUGGGUCACUGCAAUGAUAAAACAACUUCUCGUUAUUAAUGCCGAAAGCCAAGCCACUUCACCAGCCAGUUGCUCCGCGGGUACAACUUUUAGUUUCCGCAGAGUAUGAAUUGUGCAACCCAACCCUGAACCAGAAUAUCCCGGUGCAUCCAUUGGAAUCCCGAAAAUAUGAAAUCCAAAAGAAUCUGCAUCUAUUCCAGUCGGUGUUUGACAAAUUAAUGUUACAUGCUAAUGCUUAUGGAACGCGAAAAGAAAACCAAUAAAAAUGUUUGUGUGUAAAAAUAUUUUAUUUAUUACUAUUUUGUA